UACGGGGGGGGUAAGCGUUGUUCGGAAUUAUUGGGCGUAAAGAGCUCGUAGGCGGUCUGUUGCGUCCGCUGUGAAAACUCGGGGCUUAACCCCGAGCCUGCAGUGGAUACGGGCAGACUAGAGGUAGGUAGGGGAGAAUGGAAUUCCCGGUGUAGCGGUGAAAUGCGCAGAUAUCGGGAAGAACACCCGUGGCGAAGGCGGUUCUCUGGGACGGUACUGACGCUGAGACGCGAAAGCGUGGGGAGCGAACAGG
rnacentral:rRNA from 1 species